rnacentral:rRNA from 1 species
AUCGAGGUUAAAGGUACCCGUACCGCAAACCGACACAGGUGGGUGAGGAGAGUAACCUAAGGCCAGCGAGAGAACUGUUGUUAAGGAACUCGGCAAAAUGACCCCGUAACUUAGGGAUAAGGGGUGCAACCAUCAGGUGGCCGCAGAGAAUAGGCCCAAGCGACUGUUUACCAAAAACAUAGGUUUCUGCUAAGUCGCAAGACGAUGUAUAGGAGCUGACGCCUGCCCGGUGCUGG